AACGAACGCUGGCGGCGUGCCUAACACAUGCAAGUCGAACGAGAAAGGGGCUUCGGCUCCGAGUCAAGUGGCGCACGGGUGAGUAACACGUGGGUAACCUGCCUCUAAGAUUGGGAUAACUCGUCGAAAGAUGAGCUAAUACCGAAUAAGACCACAGUUCCCGCGGGAACAGGGGUCAAAGGUAGCCUCUGCUUGCAAGCUAUCACUUAGAGAUGGGCCUGCGUACCAUUAGCUAGUUGGUAGGGUAACGGCCUACCAAGGCACAGAUGGUUAGCUGGUCUGAGAGGAUGAUCAGCCACACUGGAACUGAGACACGGUCCAGACUCCUACGGGAGGCAGCAGUGGGGAAUAUUGCGCAAUGGGCGAAAGCUUGACGCAGCAACGCCGCGUGAGUGAUGAAGGCCUUCGGGUCGUAAAGCUCUGUCGGGAGGAACGAAUGCUCCUGAGGUUAACAGCCUCGGGAGGUGACGGUACCUUCAAAGGAAGCACCGGCUAACUCUGUG
rnacentral:rRNA from 1 species